rnacentral:lncRNA from 15 species
UGUGCACUGGGCCUGCAGCACACCAAUAAGGUACAUUCAUAUUUAGUAUCAACAAAAUAUUAUAUGUAGGCUUUUUGGACAGCGUAUUUAUUAGUCAUUUCACUGCCUCAUUGCACAAUAUUUAUUUACAAAAUGUUUCUUUAUUGCAGUACUAAUGAGCAAGAUAAACAACUUGGACUUGUGUAGCACACAAAUGAGAGGGAAACUGUGAACAGUGAGGUGUUGUAGUGCUUUGGCCCCAGUCUUAAAUGGCUGCUAUCCAUUUUUUAAACCACCAGAUGUCACUGCAACUGCUAAUAAGUACAUGCAGGUCGGUUCACAUAAAUCCCAGCAUUACAAGCAGAAACUCCUUCAACCUGAGCAGAUCAAGGCUGUUAAAUAGAUAAAUACAACAUUCUCAAAGUUUUAAUCUGAAAAAUUGUUUCACAUGCUUGUCACUGGAAGUGACAGAGUCACAACUGGUACUGACUCCUCUAAAGAGAGAGACAAUUAGAGCUGAUCAGAAACAGCUGUGGCACCUGCAAGACUUAAAACCUGACAUGUAGCACAGCUGGUAGCAUUUUCUCUUGCUGACUGACUGAAAUGGCUGCUGUGCAGGCCUCGCUUAUUGUUGUCUUGACUGUUUGGCUUGCCAAAGGUUCUUUUAUGGGUGCUGGUGGGAAACCAUGUGGUCAAGGGAUGCAGAUGGGAAUGAACGAUAAGUCCAUGCCAGAGGCUAAGGAAGUACAACUGGAAACCAAUGAAGUUGAUGCAUCAGCUGAACACAUGAAACAUGCACAGAAGGCCCUUAAUAGACCUCAAGGACUCAGAAAUGAGAAAAAUGACCAUCAACGCAGAGCUGGCGACCAUGUGAACAGCGACAACCUGACGGCGAGCGACCAUGUGCAUGUGCACUGCAACAACCUGACGGCGGGCGACCAUGUGCACGUGCAGGGCGACAACCUGACGGCGAGCGACAACCUGACGGCGGGCGACCAU